rnacentral:rRNA from 1 species
UGGGGAAUAUUGGACAAUGGGGGCAACCCUGAUCCAGCCAUGCCGCGUGUGUGAAGAAGGCCUUCGGGUUGUAAAGCACUUUCAGCAGUGAGGAAAGGCGUAAGGUUAAUACCCUUGUGCUGUGACGUUAACUGCAGAAGAAGGACCGGCUAACUCCGUGCCAGCAGCCGCGGUAAUACGGAGGGUCCGAGCGUUAAUCGGAAUUACUGGGCGUAAAGCGCGCGUAGGUGGUUCAGUCAGUCAGAUGUGAAAGCCCCGGGCUCAACCUGGGAACUGCACCUGAUACUGCUGAGCUAGAGUACGGUAGAGGGUAGUGGAAUUUCCGGUGUAGCGGUGAAAUGCGUAGAGAUCGGAAGGAACACCAGUGGCGAAGGCGACUACCUGGACCGAUACUGACACUGAGGUGCGAAAGCGUGGGUAGCAAACAGGAUUAGAUACCCUGGUAGUCCACGCCGUAAACGAUGUCAACUAGCCGUUGGGGGACUUGAUCCUUUAGUGGCGAAGCUAACGCGAUAAGUUGACCGCCUGGGGAGUACGGCCGCAAGGUUAAAACUCAAAUGAAUUGACGGGGGCCCGCACAAGCGGUGGAGCAUGUGGUUUAAUUCGAAGCAACGCGAAGAACCUUACCUACUCUUGACAUCCAGAGAACUUUCCAGAGAUGGAUUGGUGCCUUCGGGAACUCUGAGACAGGUGCUGCAUGGCU